AUGAACGCUGGCGGCGUGCUUAACACAUGCAAGUCGAACGGUGAAGCCAAGCUUGCUUGGUGGAUCAGUGGCGAACGGGUGAGUAACACGUGAGCAACCUGCCCUGGACUCUGGGAUAAGCGCUGGAAACGGUGUCUAAUACUGGAUAUGAGCUCCUGCCGCAUGGUGGGGGUUGGAAAGAUUUUUCGGUCUGGGAUGGGCUCGCGGCCUAUCAGCUUGUUGGUGAGGUAAUGGCUCACCAAGGCGUCGACGGGUAGCCGGCCUGAGAGGGUGACCGGCCACACUGGGACUGAGACACGGCCCAGACGCCUACGGGAGGCAGCAGUGGGGAAUAUUGCACAAUGGGCGGAAGCCUGAUGCAGCAACGCCGCGUGAGGGACGACGGCCUUCGGGUUGUAAACCUCUUUUAGCAAGGAAGAAGCGAAAGCGACGGUACUUGCAGAAAAAGCGCCGGCUAACUACGU
rnacentral:rRNA from 1 species